GAUGAACGCUGGCGGCGUGCCUAAUACAUGCAAGUCGAGCGAACGGACGAGAAGCUUGCUUUUCUGAUGUUAGCGGCGGACGGGUGAGUAACACGUGGAUAACCUACCUAUAAGACUGGGAUAACUUCGGGAAACCGGAGCUAAUACCGGAUAAUAUUUUGAACCGCAUGGUUCAAAAGUGAAAGACGGUCUUGCUGUCACUUAUAGAUGGAUCCGCGCUGCAUUAGCUAGUUGGUAAGGUAACGGCUUACCAAGGCAACGAUGCAUAGCCGACCUGAGAGGUUGAUCGGCCACACUGGAACUGAGACACGGUCCAGACUCCUACGGGAGGCAGCAGUAGGGAAUCUUCCGCGAUGGGCGAAAGCCUGACGGAGCAACGCCGCGUGAGUGAUGAAGGUCUUCGGAUCGUAAAACUCUGUUAUUAGGGAAGAACAUAUGUGUAAGUAACUGUGCACAUCUUGACGGUACCUAAUCAGAAAGCCACGGCUAACUACGUG
rnacentral:rRNA from 1 species